CACUGACUUGAGUGCUGGAUCCUUGCCUUUCUAAUUGUGUUUCGGUGACCAUUACCUUCAAGGAGAAUUUUUACAUUUAUCUAGAAAAUGGCCCCAAGAUGCAGUUCAGCAACUGUCAGGGUGACGAGGAAUUCAACUAAUCUUAUUUUGCGGGAGAUGCCACAAUCCAAACCAUUAGUGUCCAAUAAAGAGAAGCCAGUAGUUGCCAUGCAUCCCCUUCCUGACUGCUGAUUGGCUGCCACGGUCCCUCCUUCCAUAUCACUGCCAAGUAGCUAUACAGCCAUGCUGCAACUGCUGUCUGUCCCUCCCUAACAUCAGUGCCUUUAAUCUUGUGCCUUUCAGAAUCAUUGCUUAGUUUUACAAACGCAAUCCAGCGUUGACAAUAAAUCGCUAGCAUGAGCAAAUCAUGUCAUUGUGCCCGUGUGUGGACAUUAUUUCAGGGAAGGAGGGUCCAGUUCCUUCUAUAAAUCUUGUGUAUGAAAGUACUUUUAGGGUCACAUUCACUCUUCAAGCAAGACUUCAAAAACAUGCUCAUUCAUCAGUGCCUUUUCUAGUUGAUGGUUAAUAUAGAUUACAUUUCUCAGGUUUUCAAAUCAGAUGGUUGGACAGUUACUGAAGAGAUUCAGGUUAGGGCUGUCUCUUGAUAAAAGCUGUUGAUUUUGAUGCAACGGGGACCC